rnacentral:rRNA from 1 species
UGAGGAAUAUUGGUCAAUGGAGGCAACUCUGAACCAGCCAAGUCGCGUGAAGGAUGAAGGUCUUAUGGAUUGUAAACUUCUUUUAUACAGGAAUAAAUUGAGUCACGUGUGGCUUUUUGCAUGUACUGUAUGAAUAAGGAUCGGCUAACUCCGUGCCAGCAGCCGCGGUAAUACGGAGGAUCCGAGCGUUAUCCGGAUUUAUUGGGUUUAAAGGGUGCGCAGGCGGGAUGUUAAGUCGGCGGUGAAAUUUUGCGGCUCAACCGUAAAAGUGCCUUCGAAACUGGCAUUCUUGAGUAUGGAUGAAGUAGGCGGAAUUUGUGGUGUAGCGGUGAAAUGCUUAGAUAUCACGAGGAACUCCGAUUGCGCAGGCAGCUUACUAAACCAUAACUGACGCUCAUGCACGAAGGCGUGGGGAUCAAACAGG